ensembl:lncRNA ITGA9-AS1 ITGA9 antisense RNA 1
GGGCGGGUGGGUGUGUCCCGGCCCGGGGACCGGCCUCCGCCGCGGGCUCUGCCCGCUCGCCUGCUCGCCUGGUGGGGGAGAGGGGAGCGGGGCCGACACAGGGUUCCUGACCAAGCUGGUGCUUCUGCGUGUGUUCCUGCAUGACUUGGUGUGUCCCCUUCUCUUGGAUCUACUGCAGUUGACAGCAGAUAACUGAAAGCUCGGAAAGCGAAACCGUGGAUAAGCAGGGGAACUGUGGCAUCCCAUUUAAAAUUGCUUCUAUGGAUGGAGAUGCAGAAGUUCAGCCCUACGAGGUCCAUGAUUAAUUAGCUGAGCAGAGGCCAGCUCAGUAGCGCACCUCCUGUUUGCUCUCCCUCUUUCUUUGCUGCACACCCCUUUCUCCCUCACUUUUGCUUCCCUGGGAUUGCAUUCCCAAUAAAGUGUUCAUACAUAAA